UUGACCGCCCUGAAGACUGAAUUUCUCUAUUUAUCCUCAGAACAGGAUCACCAGUGGCUGUAAAAAUUUACCCCACCCUGACAAGCAGUGACCAAGGGAGGGAGGUUUUCAUAAGCUAUUUAUUCCUUAGUUUCU
rnacentral:sRNA from 1 species